rnacentral:lncRNA from 1 species
CCUUGUCGAAUUCUGAACAAGCACAGAUCUUGAAGAUAGAUUCGAUCUUCUCUAACCACCAAGUUAGAGCAAUGACGCCUCCUGUGCCAUUGAAGAAUGUGGGUUUUGCAUUCAUAAAGUCCUUAUAGGAACACUCCUUUCGGUGUCCCGGGCUACCUUCCUGGUUUUGAGGCUGGGGACCACUUCCUGAACUACCGGGGAUCGUUUGCGACAUGGCUGCUGAAAAUGCUGCAGUUAAAACUGUCUGAACGGUUUCCAGGUCGAUUUGAAGAGAAGGUGGUAGUGGAGGAGGAUUGUUGUCGGUCUUUGAACUGGGUCUCUUUCUUGGAGGCAUCUUGAUCUAAUAAGAUCAGGAAAGAAAGGAUGGUAAGUCCUCCGAAUUGAAUCAAGAGAUAUGAAACAAGGGAUAUCUCUUUACGACAGGCAUAGAAUUCUAUUUAAGCGAUAAAGCAGGAAUGAAUUAUCAAAACAGAUAAAUUAUCGCUAAAGGAAUGAUUGAGGAGCAACGCUGGGAUGAGGAUUUCUAUAACGGAUUUGGCUCGAGAAAUACUCCCAUAGUAUUUCAUGUCUCGCUGCAGCGACGGAUCAUUGUUUGGGUAUUGGGUAAGUUUUAGGCAUGCUGUACACCACAGUCACUCCCGAGCACAUGUUGGCCGUGUCUCGAAUGAAUAUAGUUGGCUAGGCUAUAUUGAUCCUAGACACGACUACAUAACUUCCAGGUUUAACCGCAAAGUACAACACCCAUUUACUUAUGUUUUGUUCUACUUGUAGUUAUGGAUCUCGACGGUUUGGUAUACUUGUAUACUAUUGAAAAUAGUUAUAUUCGAGGUAUACUUUUAGUUCAGAGCACUUAGGCCCUUUAGUGUUUAUAGUUUUAUACCAUGUAACGUAUGGUAUACUAGUUCACUAUAAACAAGGGCUCUGAUACCAAACUAUCACACCCCGAAAACCGAAGGCGAAAACAUUUCCGGGGCGGACUCCACAUUGAGUAUCAAAUCCAAAGUACAUAGUAAGCAAGUAAACAACCAUUACAUUACAUAUUAGAAUUUACAUUUGUUCAAAAGUAAAGUGUUACAAGUUUAUACAUAUAUCAUAAGAACAAAAGUAGAGACGAGUCUUCUGUACGCUCUGUCUUCUCCAAAAGGAUCGUUGGGUACCUGUCUAAUAUGGACCUGAGAAUACAAGCAGUUUGAAAAUCAGCAUAAAUCUGGUGAGUUCAUAAGAUGUUUGUUUUCUGAAAAUGUACGAGUUCGCUUUUGUUUUCAGAAAAGAUUGUUAUCCAAGAAAAUCCUAUAUUUUCUUAUAUGUAAAGUUUGAUUAACUGUUUUACUACACGAAUCUGGUUAUGUACAAUUGUCAUCCCAGGAAAAUCCUAUAUUUUCCUAAAAGUAAUGUUUCGUUAUUGAACUGCAAUGAAUACUUGAUUAUCUAUUAUACUUGUCAUAUUAGCUAGGUAUUCUGAUAUCCUAAUCGUGUUACACAUGAAUGUAACUAGACGUGUGCCUUCAUUUUCGUAUUCUUAUCCUUGAUCAUAUACAUAUUCAUAUUUUAUAUUUGUGUUUGUAUUUAUAUUUGUAGUCCUAUUCGUAUUCGUAUUUGCAUUCGUAUUCGUCUUCGCAGUCGUAUUCGUAUCCCUAUUCCUACUCCUAAUACUAUUCGUAUUCGUAUUCGUAUUCGUAUUCGCAGUCGUAUUCGUAUCCCUAUUCCUACUCCUAAUAUUAUUCGUAUUCGUAUUCGUAUUCGUAUAUGUAUUCGUAUUCGUAUUCGCAGUCGUAUUCGUAUCCAUAUUCCUACUCUUAAUACUAUUCGUAUUCGUAUUCUUUCUAAUCCUAGUUAUACUUUUGGAUUCGUUCUGUUCCUUAUUGUGCUUUCGUAUUCGUUCUGUUCCUAUUUGUGCUUUCGUAUUCGUUCUAUUCCUAGUUGUGCUUUCGUAUUCGUUCUGUUCCUAGUUGUACUUUCGUAUUCAUAUUAGUAUUAGUUCUAAUUGAUGAUUAGUAUGAAUUGUUCGUCGAUUAUGAAAUAUAAUUUAGAUUGUAACAUUUUAUCAAGAAUUCUAUGUUUUGUUGGAAAGCUAACUUCGUAAUUCGUACUAUUUAUCAAACACAGUUUUCGAUAUUAAAACAUACAAAAUAUAGACAUUUAAACUGAAAACAAUAUGUAUGAGUACAAAAUAUCUUUGUACUUUUGCUUGUAUNNNNNNNNNNNNNNNNNNNNNNNNNNNNNNNNNNNNNNNNNNNNNNNNNNNNNNNNNNNNNNNNNNNNNNNNNNNNNNNNNNNNNNNNNNNNNNNNNNNNNNNNNNNNNNNNNNNNNNNNNNNNNNNNNNNNNNNNNNNNNNNNNNNNNNNNNNNNNNUGGACUGCCAACAUCUGUUGUCUCUUUGAGAACUCCUGCGAGGGCUGACAUUUCUCCCUCGCCUCCCAAAACUUUCUUUUCUCACCACUUCUUUCUGUCGGCUCAGGAGUGGUGGCUGCUUCCUCUACAUCCUCACUAUGGUCGAUCAAGAUUUGCGCUAGGCAUUUGGCGCUAUCGUAUGUAUCCGGCUUCGCAGCUAAAACGUUUCCUUUGGUUGGCUGGGUCAAACCCCAGAUGAACCUUUCUACCAUUUUGCUUUCCGGGGUAACCAUCCCCAAACAAAGAAGUGCCAAGUCGUCAAACCUUGAAGUGUAAGCGGCGAUAUCGGAAACUUUCAUCUUUAGGUUCCAGAGUUCAUGCUCCAGCUUCUGAAUUUCACCCCGAGGGCAAUACUCUGCGUGCAGAAGUUCCUUCAUAACUUCCCAACCUAUAGCAUUGGCUACAGGUAGAGUUAGGGAUUUGACUUGGCCGUUCCACCAAGUCAGAGCUUUAUUGGUGAGAGUGCAGGCGGCAAAUUUCACCUUGUCGGAUUCUGAACAAGCACAGAUCUCGAAGAUAGAUUCGAUCUUCUCUAACCACUGAGUUAGAGAAAUGACGCCUCCUAUGCCAUUGAAGAAUGUGGGUUUUGCAUUCAUAAAGUCUUUAUAGGAACACUCCUUUCGGUGUCCCUGGCUACCUUCCUGGUUUUGAGGCUGGGAACCACUUCCUGAACUACCGAGGUUCGUUUGCGACAUGGCUGCUGAAAAUGCUGCAGUUAAAUUUGUUUGAAGGGUUGUCAGGUCGAUUUGAAGAGAAGGUGGUGGUGGAGGACGAUUGUUGUUGGUCUUUGAGCAGGGUCUCCUUCUUGGAGGCAUCUUGAUCUAAUAAGAUCAGGAAAGAGAGGAUGGUGAGUCCUCCGAAUUGAAUCAAGAGAUAUGAAACAACGGAUAUCUCUUUACGACAGGCAUAGAAUUCUAUUUAAGCGAUAAAGCAGGAAUGAAUUUUCAAAACAGAUAAACUAUCGCUAAAGGAAUGAUUGAGGAGCAACGCUGGGAUGAGGAUUUCUAUAACGGAUUUGGCUCGAGAAAUACUCCCAUAGUAUNCAUAGUAUUUUGUCUCGCUGCAGCGACAGAUCAUUGUUUGUGUAUUGGGUAAGUUUUAGGCAUGUCGUACACCAUAGUCACUCCCAAGCACAUGUUGGCCGUGUCUCGAAUGAAUAUAGUUGGCCAGGCUAUAUUGAUCCUAGACACGACUACAUAACUGCCCAGGUUUAACCGCAAAGUUCAACACCCAUUUACCUAUGUUUUGUUCUACUUGUAGUUAUGGAUCUCGAUGGUUUGGUAUACUUGUAUACUAUUGAAAAUACUUAUAUUCAAGGUAUACUUUUAGUUCAGAGCACUUAGGCCCUUUAGUGUUUACAGUUUUAUACCAUGUAACAUAUGGUAUACUAGUUCACUAUAAACAAGGGCUCUGAUACCAAACUAUCACACCCCGAAAACCGAAGGCGAAAACAUUUUCGGGGCGGACUCCACAUUGAGUAUCAAAUCCAAUGUACAUAGUAAGCAAGUAAACAACCAUUACAUUACAUAUUAGAAUUUACAUUUGUUCAAAAGUAAAGUGUUACAAGUGUUAUACAUAUAUCAUAUGAACAAAAGUAGAGACGAGUCUUCUGUACGCUCCGUCUUCUCCAAAAGGAUCGUUGGGUACCUGUCUAAUAUGGACCUAUGAAUACAAGCAGUUUGAAAAUCAGCAUCAAGCUGGUGAGUUCAUAAGAUGUUUCUUUUCUGAAAAUGUAUGAGUUCCCUUUUGUUUUCUGAAAAGAUUGUUAUCCAAGAAAAUCCUAUAUUUUUCUUAUAUGUAAACUUUGAUUAACUGUUUUAUUACACGAAUCUGGUUAUGUACAAUUGUCAUCCCAGGAAAAUCCUAUAUUUUCCUAAAAGUAAUGUUUAGUUAUUGAACUCCAAUGAAUACUUGAUUAUAUAUUUUACUUGUCAUAUUAGAUAGGUAUUCUGAUAUCCUUAUCAUGUUACACUUGAAUGUAACUAGACGUGUGCCUUCAUUUUCGUAUUCUUAUCCUUGAUCAUAUUCAUAUUCAUAUUUUAUAUUUAUGUUUGUAUUUAUAUUUGUACUCCUAUUCGUAUUCGUAUUCGCAUUUGUAUUCGUAUUUGCAGUUGUAUUUGUAUCCCUAUUCCUUCUC